GGGCCCGUAGCUCAGUCAGGAUAGAGCGGCGGCCUCCUAAGCCGCAGGUCGUGGGUUCGAAUCCCACCGGGCCCG
rnacentral:tRNA from 1 species